rnacentral:rRNA from 1 species
GACCCAGACUCCUACGGGAGGCAGCAGUGGGGGAUAUUGCACAAUGGGGGAAACCCUGAUGCAGCGACGCCGCGUGGGCGAAGAAGUAUUUCGGUAUGUAAAGCCCUAUCAGCAGGGAGGAAGAAAUGACGGUACCUGAGUAAGAAGCACCGGCUAAAUACGUGCCAGCAGCCGCGGUAAUACGUAUGGUGCAAGCGUUAUCCGGAUUUACUGGGUGUAAAGGGAGCGCAGGCGGCACGGCAAGCCUGAUGUGAAAGCCCGCGGCCCAACCGCGGGACUGCAUUGGGAACUACCGGGCUGGAGUGCCGGAGAGGUAGGCGGAAUUCCUAGUGUAGCGGUGAAAUGCGUAGAUAUUAGGAGGAACACCAGUGGCGAAGGCGGCCUGCUGGACGACAACUGACGGUGAGGCGCGAAAGCGUGGGGAGCAAACAGGAUUAGAUACCCGUGUAA